rnacentral:rRNA from 1 species
AGAGUUUGAUCCUGGCUCAGGAUUAAUGCUGACGGCGUGCCUAAUCUAUGUAAGUUGAUGGAAUUUCCAGCAAUGGUUGUUCCAUGGCAGACGAGUGAGUAACGCGUAGGAAUCUACCUUUAAGAUGGGGAUAACUCUGGGAAACCGGAGAUAAUACCCAAUGUGUUCGCAAGAACAAAGUCGCAAGACGCUUAAAGAUGAGCCUGCGUCCUAUCAGCUAGUUGGCGGGGUAAAAGCCCACCAAGGCUAUGACGGGUAGGGGGCGUGAGAGCGUGAACCCCCACGAUGGCACUGAGAUACGGGCCAUACACCUACGGGCGGCAGCAAGUAGGAAUAUUGCGCAAUGGAUCGAAAGAUCUGACGCAGCGACGCCGUGUGAAGGAAGAAGGCUUUCGGGUCGUAAACUUAUGUUAAAAAGGAGCGGCAAACUUCGUGCCAGCAGCAGCGGUAAUACGGGGGCUCCUAGCAUUAUCCGGUUCUAUUGGGCGUAAAGAGUUCUGUAGGUGGUGUUGUAAGUUACAGGUUAAAACCUCCGGCUUAACUGGAGAUGUGCUUGUAAUACUGCAGUACUAGAGGCAAACAGGGGAAAGUAGAACGCAUGGUGUAGUGGUAAAAUACGUUGAUAUCAUGCGGAAUACCGAAGGCGUAGGCAGCUUUCAGGGUUUGUCCUGACACUGAGAGACGAAAGCGUGGGGAGCAAAACGGAUUAGAUACCCGUGUAGCCCACGCCGUAAACUAUGUCCACUAGAUUCGUGGGUAAGAUUUAUCUUACUUGCGUGUCGCAGUUAACACAUUAAGUGGACCGCCUGAGGAGUACGGUCGCAAGGCUAAAACUCAAAGGAAUUGACGGGGAUCCGCACAAGCGGUGGAGCGCCUGCUUUAAUUCGAUGAUCAGCGAAGAACCUUACCGAGGUUUGACAUGCAACCGCAAAUCCCAUGAAAGUGGGACCCCUUCGAGGGUGUUGCACAGGUAUUGCAUGGCUGUUGUCAGCUCGUGUCGUGAGAUGUACCGUUAAGUCGGGUAACGAGCGCAACCCUUACUGCUAGUUGUAUCACUCUAGCGGAACUGCCCUGGCAACAGGGAGGAAGGAGAGGAAGACGACAAGUCGGCAUGGUCCUUAUGCCUCGGGCAAGACAGGCGCUACAAUGGCCAGUACAAUGGGCAGCAACAUAGCAAUAUGAAGCUAAUCUCAUAAAGCUGGUCUCAGUUCAGAUUGAGGGCUGAAACUCGCCCUCAUGAAGUUGGAAUCGCUAGCAAUCGUAGGUCAGCUAUACUACGGUGAAUACGUUCUCGGAUCUUGUACACACUGCCCGUCAAGUCAGCAGAGUUGGGAAUACCCGAAGUAUCUAUUAAAUUAGGUCCUAAGGUAGGCUCAGUGAUGAGGAUUAAGUCGUAACAAGGUA